rnacentral:rRNA from 1 species
UGGGGAAUAUUGCACAAUGGGCGAAAGCCUGAUGCAGCAACGCCGCGUGAGUGAUGAAGGCCUUCGGGUUGUAAAGCUCUGUCUUUUGGGACGAUAAUGACGGUACCAAAGGAGGAAGCCACGGCUAACUACGUGCCAGCAGCCGCGGUAAUAACGUAGGUGGCAAGCGUUGUCCGGAUUUACUGGGCGUAAAGGAUGCGUAGGCGGAUUUUUAAGUGAGAUGUGAAAUACCCGGGCUUAACUUGGGUGCUGCAUUUCAAACUGGGAAUCUAGAGUGCGGGAGAGGAGAAUGGAAUUCCUAGUGUAGCGGUGAAAUGCGUAGAGAUUAGGAAGAACACCAGUGGCGAAGGCGAUUCUCUGGACCGUAACUGACGCUGAGGCAUGAAAGCGUGGGUAGCAAACAGGAUUAGAUACCCUGGUAGUCCACGCCGUAAACGAUGAGUACUAGGUGUAGGAGGUAUCGACCCCUUCUGUGCCGCAGUUAACACAAUAAGUACUCCGCCUGGGAAGUACGAUCGCAAGAUUAAAACUCAAAUGAA